rnacentral:misc_RNA from 1 species
GAUGAAGAACGUAGCGAAAUGCGAUAAGUAAUGUGAAUUGCAGAAUUCAGUGAAUCAUCGAAUCUUUGAACGCACAUUGCGCCCCCUGGUAUUCCGGGGGGCAUGCCUGUUCGAGCGUCAUUACAACCCUCAAGCUCUGCUUGGUAUUGGGCCCCGCCAGUUCUGGCGGGCCCUAAAGUCAGUGGCGGUGCCUUCCGGCUCCGAGCGUAGUAAUUCUUCUCGCUCUGGAGACCCGGUUGUGUGCUUGCCAACAACCCCCAAUUUUUUAAGGUUGACCUCGGAUCAGGUAGGGAUACCCGCUGAACUUAAGCAUAUCAAUACGGAGGA